rnacentral:rRNA from 1 species
CCUACGGGAGGCUGCAGUGGGGAAUAUUGGACAAUGGGCGAAAGCCUGAUCCAGCCAUGCCGCGUGUGUGAAGAAGGCCUUCGGGUUGUAAAGCACUUUCAGUGGGGAAGAAAGCCUUGGGGCUAAUACCCUCGAGGAAGGACAUCACCCACAGAAGAAGCACCGGCUAACUCCGUGCCAGCAGCCGCGGUAAUACGGAGGGUGCGAGCGUUAAUCGGAAUUACUGGGCGUAAAGCGCGCGUAGGCGGUCUGAUAAGCCGGUUGUGAAAGCCCCGGGCUCAACCUGGGAACGGCAUCCGGAACUGUCAGGCUAGAGUGCAGGAGAGGAAGGUAGAAUUCCCGGUGUAGCGGUGAAAUGCGUAGAGAUCGGGAGGAAUACCAGUGGCGAAGGCGGCCUUCCGGACUGACACUGACGCUGAGGUGCGAAAGCGUGGGUAGCAAACAGGAUUAGAUACCCGUGUAGUC